UACGUAGGGUGCAAGCGUUGUCCGGAAUUAUUGGGCGUAAAGAGCUCGUAGGCGGUUUGUUGCGUCGGCUGUGAAAUCCCGAGGCUCAACCUCGGGUCUGCAGUCGAUACGAGCAAACUAGAGUGUUGCAGGGGAGACUGGAAUUCCUGGUGUAGCGGUGAAAUGCGCAGAUAUCAGGAGGAACACCGGUGGCGAAGGCGGGUCUCUGGGACGGUACUGACGCUAAGGCGCGAAAGCGUGGGGAGCGAACAGG
rnacentral:rRNA from 1 species